rnacentral:lncRNA from 1 species
UAAAGGUUGGGCAUGUUUGCUAGUCUACCUUGCCACGAAGCACAAAGGUUGACACACAGGGACUUUCCAAUUAUCCAGCAAUGGUACUGUUCCUUUACCCUCUCUUCGAUUUUGAGAAAGUAGUCAUGUUGGGAAUCUGGCUCUCGAGAUUCGGAGGACGGUGCCUCUUCGAUUUUGGAGCAAGCAAUCUUGUUGGGAGUGUUUUCUCGAAUGUGAGUAAAGGUUGGGCAUGUUUGCUAGUCUACCUUGCCACGAAGCACAGAGGUUGACACACAGGGACUUUCCAAUUAUCCAGCAGUGGUACUGUUCCUUUACCCUUGUGGGUAAUAAUAUGGUAGCUAGACCUUCAAAAUUUAUGUGUCUAAACUUUGUUAGUGCUGUUUCUUUGCUAUUCUUUUACCUUUCUUGGUCAGAGCGAUGUAGUGGGAGCUGCAAGCUUCACGUGCUCAACUUUGGCAGAGAACUUUGGCAAAGUUAUCUGUGGUACCCAUGAGCUAUUGUUGCGUGUGGGAAGUGGGUAAUUGAACAGUAAGAUUCAUGUGCUUUCUACUUCACCAGAAAUCUUCGACAGAAUGCCCAUAAUUUCUGCAAAGCUGAGUGUGCGUGUGACAGGUGCUGACAAGGCUAGAAAAGUAGGUGCCUCUUCGAUUUCUGAGAUCGGCCCUCGUGGUCUCUGAGCAGCCCAGCUUUUGAGAAAGCGAGCGCCUCUUCGAUUGAUUCGGAGAACGAUGCCUCAUCGAUUUUUGAGAAAGCAAUCAUGCUGGGGGUCUGGCUCUCGAAGAUUCGGGGAGCAGUGUCUCUUCGAUUUUUGAGAAAGUAAUCAUGUUGGGAGUCUGGCUCUCGAGAUUCGGAAGGCGGUGCCUCUUCGAUUUUGGAGCAAGCAAUCUUGUUGGGAGUGUUUUCUCGAAUGUGAGUAAAGGUUGGGCAUGUUUGCUAGUCUACCUUGCCACGAAGCACAGAGGUUGACACAGGGACUUUCCAAUUAUCCAGCAAUGGUACUGUUCCUUUACCCUCUCUU